AAGAAGGUGGCAGAGUGGUAAUGCAGCUGGCUUGAAACUAGCUUACGGGGGUUCAAUUCCUUCCUUUCUCG
rnacentral:tRNA from 1 species